AAGUCGUAACAAGGUUUCCGUAGGUGAACCUGCGGAAGGAUCAUUGUCGAAACCUGCCCAGCAGAACGACCCGCGAACAAGUGAUGCCCCGGUUGCGCCGGACGGGCUGCGGAGACGCCCCCCGUCCGGCAAAAAACGAACCCCCGGCGCGGAUCCGCGCCAAGGAAAACGAAAAAAACGGAUCGAGCGCCCCGCAAGGACGCGCUCCCCGAGCUCUUAACGACUCUCGGCAACGGAUAUCUUGGCUCUCGCAUCGAUGAAGAACGUAGCGAAAUGCGAUACUUGGUGUGAAUUGCAGAAUCCCGUGAAUCAUCGAGUCUUUGAACGCAAGUUGCGCCCUAGGCCGUCAGGCCGAGGGCACGCCUGCCUGGGUGUCACGCACUGAGUCGCCUCCACCCGCUGAUUUUAAGCGUAAUCGGUUGGGAGCGGACAAUGGCCCCCCGUGCCCCCGCGCGCGGCCGGCCCAAAUCGAGGCCCCCCGGAGGCCGACGUCACGAUCCGUGGUGGUUGUAAAAGACACGCCCUAGAAACCGGAUCCCGUGCACGCCGCGCCGCACCCCGGGAGGCCACAGCGACCCCCACGGGCCGUCCCCGGACGGCACCCACUCUGCGACCCCAGGUCAGGCGGGGCC
rnacentral:rRNA from 1 species